CUACGGGUGGCUCCAGUGAGGAAUAUUGCACAAUGGAGGAAACUCUGAUGCAGCAACGCCGCGUGGAGGAUGACGCAUUUCGGUGUGUAAACUCCUUUUAUAUGUCAAGAAAAUGACGGUAGCAUAUGAAUAAGCUCCGGCUAACUCCGUGCCAGCAGCCGCGGUAAUACGGAGGGAGCAAGCGUUACUCGGAAUCACUGGGCGUAAAGGACGCGUAGGCGGGAUAGAAAGUCAGGUGUGAAAUCCUAUGGCUCAACCAUAGAACUGCACUUGAAACUUCUAACCUAGAGUAUGGGAGGGGAAGAUGGAAUUAGUGGUGUAGGGGUAAAAUCCGUAGAUAUCACUAGGAAUACCAAAAGCGAAGGCGAUCUUCUGGAACAAUACUGACGCUGAGGCGUGAAAGCGUGGGGAGCAAACAGGAUUAGAUACCCUAAUAGUC
rnacentral:rRNA from 1 species